rnacentral:lncRNA from 1 species
UGUGACAGCUCAUUUACAUAUUUAUCCUGCACAGCGCCCUCGCUUGACCCUUAAGGUAAAGCUCACACUUGUCCUUUGUCUUGAGUGAGUCAUUCCACCACUAGCUCUGUCACUGUUAACACCGCACAGCUAGUGUCCUGCUUCCUUCUACACAUGUUCUUAGUUAAUGCCUCAAGAUUUUGUGGAUGACUCGACUGGGGGUUUGUUUUGUUUGUGUAAGAUGCAGUUCACCAUUAAAUGAACCAGUCACAGUAAAUGUA